rnacentral:rRNA from 1 species
UACCAGCACCCCGAGUGGUCGGGACGAUUAUUGGGCCUAAAGCAUCCGUAGCCGGUCAUGCAAGUCCUCCGUUAAAUCCACCUGCUUAACAGAUGGGCUGCGGAGGAUACUACAAGGCUAGGAGGCGGAAGAGGCAAGCGGUACUCAGUGGGUAGGGGUAAAAUCCAUUGAUCUACUGAAGACCACCAGUGGCGAAGGCGUUUGCCAGAACGCGCUCGACGGUGAGGGAUGAAAGCUGGGGGAGCAAACCGG